rnacentral:rRNA from 1 species
CUAACUAGGAUUCCCUCAGUAACGGCGAGUGAAAGGGGAGGAGCUCAACCCUUAAUUCUCUCUCUCAGAUGAAGAAAUGUGGGAUCCUUUUUCAGAAAAAUGUCAGUGGAAAAUAUCUUGGAAAGGUUUGCCUAAGAGGGUGAAAGUCCCGUUAACACUGUACAUAUUUCAUACGGAAAAGGUUUGAAGAGUCACGCUCUUUGGAAGUAGAGCGUAAAAACGGGUGAUACACUUCAUCCGAGGCUAAAUAUCAUUUCGAGACCGAUAGUGAACAAGUACCGUGAGGGAAAGCUGAAAAGAACUUUGGAAAGAGAGUUAAACAGUGCUUGAAACCGAUAAGGAGGAAGUGUAUUUGUCUUGAUAUUGUACGCGGUUUGCCGUGUACGAUACAUGCUAUCCAUUUCGAAGGAUCGAGUAAAUCUUUUCGAGACCCAUCAAUAGUGUAGAUGAGGUGGAAUUGAUGUACUUAGCACUUGGAAUGGGAGAGCAUUGAGUUGAGGUUCAUCUUCCCCUUAGCCGUCAAGCUCCUUUCUCUUGAAACGGGUUUGUAGGAUAAGCGUAAGAUGAUAAUCGUUCUUCGCGCAGCA